rnacentral:snoRNA from 1 species
AUCCCAGAUGAAACUCCCUUGUAUUUAUCUGAUUCAUUGGAGGCAAAAAUUGACAAAGGAAGUUUCGCUGAUAGCACUUUUUUUGGUUUUUUGAAAGGUGUUCUAAUAGUUGCUCUCCUUACAUUC